rnacentral:lncRNA from 1 species
UGGCAGACAGGAUGGCAGAUCGUGCUGCGCUGGAGGAGCUGGUGUGACUCCAGGGAUCGCAUGUGAGGGGCCUUAAGGAGGAGAAAGCAUCCGCUGAGCAGAUCGAGGAGGAGGUGACGAAACUCCUAAAACUGAAGGCACAGCUGGGCCAUGAUGAAGGCAAACAGAAGUUUGUCCUCAAAACCCCCAAGGGCACGAGAGACUAUAGUCCCCUGCAGAUGGCAGUCCGAGAAAAGGUGUUUGAUGUCAUCAUCCACUGUUUCAAACGCCAUGGAGCAGAAGUGAUCGAUAGACCUGUGUUUGAACUAAAGGAGACACUAACUGGAAAGUACACAGAAGACUCAAAGCUUAUCUAUGACCUGAAGACCAGGGUGGGGAGCUGUUGUCCCUCCGUUAUGACCUUAUUGUCCCUUUUGCUCAGUAUCUAGCAAUGAAUAAACUGACCAACAUUAAAUGCUACCACAUAGCAACGGUGUAUCACCGGGACAACCCAGCUAUGACCCGAGGCCGUUACCGUGAAUUCUAUCAGUGUAAUUUUGACAUUGCUGGACAGUUUGACCCCAUGAUUCCUGAUGCAGAGUGCCUAAAGAUGAUGUGAGAGAUCCUGAGUUCACUUCAGAUCGGCAACUUC